rnacentral:rRNA from 1 species
UAAAGGAAUUGGCGGGGGAGCACCACAAGGGGUGGAGCCUGCGGUUUAAUUGGAGUCAACGCCGGGAACCUCACCGGGGGCGACAGCAGGAUGACGGCCAGGCUAACGGCCUUGCCCGACGCGCUGAGAGGAGGUGCAUGGCCGUCGCCAGCUCGUGCCGUGAGGCGUCCGGUUAAGUCCGGCAACGAGCGAGACCCCCGCCCCUAGUUGCGACCCGGGGCUCCGGCCUCGGGGCACACUAGGGGGACUGCCGCCGUAUAAGGCGGAGGAAGGAGGGGGCCACGGCAGGUCAGCAUGCCCCGAAUCCCCCGGGCUACACGCGGGCUACAAUGGCGGGGACAGCGGAAUCCGACCCCGAAAGGGGGAGGUAAUCCCUCAAACCCCGCCGCAGUUGGGAUCGAGGGCUGCAACUCGCCCUCGCGAACGUGGAAUCCCUAGUAACCGCGCGUCAUCAUCGCGCGGUGNAUACGUCCCUGCUCCUUGCACACACCGCCA